rnacentral:lncRNA from 7 species
ACAAACCUUUUCCUUUGGCCAUUUAAAACCUCUGUUUUCCACAGCUGUUUCUUCCUGUAUGCCACAGGUUCAGACACUUGCAAUCAUUCCUGUGUCCAGGUGCUUCUCAUCUCAUCAUCCUUGCUUCUUAACAGCCACUGUUCAGACCUAAGGCUCCGUUGCAUGCUGACAGAUGCUGACACAAGGAGCUGCUGGAAAUGAAAGCUGGAGGAGCACAAAACUCUUGAUGUACUUCAUCAGUCUAAUGGACUGCAGGAAUCCCUGCGUUGCUUCACAAUAACAGACCAUGAACCAGAGCUCCUGCGACAGACUCUGCCCAGUGUUGGGGCCACACCACUGCUGGAUGGCAUGCCAUGGCUGCACCCACCCUACUGAGCAUCAUGCUGUCCUAAGGACCUAGGAUGUUUUUUUCUCCUCGCUUGUUAGGUGUAUUUGUGAUGCCUAAGAAGAAAGCAUGCAGCAACCUGGUAGUAGAGAACCCUUGCAAGUAAACCUGAAGAGUUAAGGACUCAAGAGUGGAAUCGCAGUCUGUUCACUGUGCAGCUCUAUGGCCAUGGAGAGGUCAGUCAGUGAGAGAAAUGGGUCCAUGAAAUAUGCAAGCAGUAAAGACUGGUUUCUUUCCAGACUCUUCUAGUGUUGCUUCUGUAUUCUCUCUUCAAAACAGAAGGAACCAGGGGUUGUGAGAGUGUAGAUUCCUUUCCCCAUAGUGACUUCCUUCCAUUUAACAGAAAUUGAGGUGGAAUUCAUUGAAUUGUGAUCUGGACUCUGAGUUCUGCUGGAUUAGAUGUUCUCACACAGACUGGCUGGCUUCUGAUGAUGCUGUUUGUCUUCAACUGCAAUAUGGGUGAGUGGAGACGGUGGCACCUAUGCUCUAAUGAUAGUUACAUGGGCUUGUUACACAUGUGCAACAGUUCAGUACUGGGAUCUUACUUGCAUUCUUGCUUUUGCUGUUUUGACUGAUGAUGUCAUAAAUAUCACAGAUGAUUUUUCUACCCUUUCUCCUCUAGUGACAGAAAGCAGAUGCUGAAGAGUAUUAUGUACUUAGGAACUAAAGCAAAUAAAUAACUAUGGAAAUCU